AUAAAUUUUUUAUGAUUUACAAAAUUCAUUAUAAGUUUAUUUUACAUACAAAUUUUAGUAUGAAUUUUUAAUUAUUUUAAAAAUAAUUAAUGAUUAAAGUAGUAAUUAUAUUUAAAAAUUUAAGAAAUUAAGAUUUAGUAAUAUUUAAAUUAAUAACAAAUUUUGUGCCAGCAGUUGCGGUUACACAAAAAUUAAAUUGAAUUUUUUUAGUUUAUAAUAAUUGAUUUUAACUUAAAAUAAAUAUAAAAUUAUUAAGUAAAAUUUUAAUUUUAUAAAAUUUUAUAUAAAAAUUAUGAUUUAGUAAAUUUACAUUUAAACUAGGAUUAGAUACCCUAUUAUAAAAUUUUUAUUAAAAAUACUAAAAUAGUAAAUAAUAAUUUAUUGAAACUUAAAUAAUUUGGCGGUAUUUUAGUUCAUUUAGAGGAAUCUGUUUAAUAAUUGAUAAUCCACGAAUAAAUUUACUUAAUUUAAAAUUUUGUAUAUCGUUGUUAAAAAAAUAUUUUUUAAUAAUAAUAAUAUUUAAAAAUUUUUAUAAAAAUUAAUUCAGAUCAAGAUGCAGAUUAUAAUUAAGAAUAUAAUGGAUUACAAUAAAUUUAUUUAAAUGAAAAUAUAUUUUGAAAAAAAUAAUUGAAAGUGGAUUUAAAUGUAAUUUUAUUUAAUUUAAUAAAAUGAUUGAAAAUUAAAAUAUGUACAUAUUGCCCGUCACUUUCAUUUUAAAAUUGAAAUAAGUCGUAACAAAGUAGAAGUACUGGAAAGUGUUUCUAGAAUGAU
rnacentral:ncRNA from 1 species